AAAGAGGCCUGAGGCAGUAAGGACUGCUAAUCCUUAUCCCCACAGUUAAAUUCCG
rnacentral:tRNA from 1 species